rnacentral:rRNA from 2 species
AAGAUGUCAAUUGGUUGUUGAGUCUUAAAUGAGUCAGUAAAGAAGCUAAAGAGUGAAGUUGCCCGCCUGAGGAGUACGGCCCCAAGAUUGAACCUCAAAGGAAUUGACGGGGACCCGCACAAGCGGUGGAUGAUGUGGUUUAAUUGGAUGCAACGCGAAAAACCUUACCCACUUUUGACAUGGCAGGAACUUACCAGAGAUGGUUUGGUGCUUUAAAGAGAACCUGCACACCGGUGCCGCAUGGCUGUUAUCUAAUCGUGUCGUGAGAUGUUGGGAUAAGUCCCACAAAGAGCGCAACCCUUCCCAUUAGUUCAUACAUUCAGUUGAGCACUCUAAUGGGACUGCCGGUGACAAACCGGAGGAAGGUGGGGAUGACGUCAAGUCCUCAUGGCCCUUAUAGGUGGGGCUACACACGUCAUACAAUGGCUGGUACAAAGGGUUGCCGACCCGCGAGGGGGAGCUAAUCCCAUAAAACCAGUCGUAGUCCGGAUCGCAGUCUGCAACUCGACUGCGUGAAGUCGGAAUCGCUAGUAAUCGGGAUCAGAAUGUCACGGUGAAUACGUUCCCGGGUCCUUUUACGGCAGCGCCCGUCACACCAUGGAACGGGUCUCCCCCCGCCCGUUUCUAACCUAACCUCAAAGGAGGGCGCUUCCCCCCGGGCCGGGGGAUUUUCAGGGA